GGUCAAGCGAACAAGUGCAUGUGGUGGAUGCCUUGGCGAUCACAGGCGAUGAAGGACGCGGUAGCCUGCGAAAAGCUACGGGGAGCUGGCAAACGAGCUUUGAUCCGUAGAUGUCCGAAUGGGGAAACCCGGCCCUUUUGGGUCAUCCUGGACUGAAUACAUAGGUCCAGUGAAGCGAACGCGGUGAACUGAAACAUCUAAGUAACCGCAGGAAAAGAAAUCAACCGAGAUUCCCAAAGUAGUGGCGAGCGAAAUGGGAUGAGCCUUGCACUCUUUAUUUGUAUUGUUAGCCGAACGCUCUGGAAAGUGCGGCCAUAGCAGGUGAUAGCCCUGUAGGCGAAAACAGUAUGAAAGAACUAGGUGUGCGACAAGUAGGGCGGGACACGUGAAAUCCUGUCUGAAGAUGGGGGGACCAUCCUCCAAGGCUAAAUACUCGUGAUCGACCGAUAGUGAACCAGUACCGUGAGGGAAAGGCGAAAAGAACCCCGGGAGGGGAGUGAAAUAGAUCCUGAAACCGCAUGCAUACAAACAGUCGGAGCCUCGUAAGGGGUGACGGCGUACCUUUUGUAUAAUGGGUCAGCGACUUACGUUCAGUAGCAAGCUUAACCGUAUAGGGCAGGCGUAGCGAAAGCGAGUCCGAAUAGGGCGUUCAGUUGCUGGGCGUAGACCCGAAACCAGGUGAUCUAUCCAUGGCCAGGAUGAAGGUGCGGUAACACGUACUGGAGGUCCGAACCCACUAACGUUGAAAAGUUAGGGGAUGAGCUGUGGAUAGGGGUGAAAGGCUAAACAAACCUGGAAAUAGCUGGUUCUCUCCGAAAACUAUUUAGGUAGUGCCUCGUGUCUCACCUUCGGGGGUAGAGCACUGUCAUGGUUGGGGGGUCUAUUGCAGAUUACCCCGCCAUAGCAAACUCCGAAUACCGAAGAGUGCAAUCACGGGAGACAGACAUCGGGUGCUAACGUCCGGUGUCAAGAGGGAAACAACCCAGACCGCCAGCUAAGGUCCCCAAAUAUAGCUAAGUGGGAAACGAAGUGGGAAGGCUAAAACAGUCAGGAGGUUGGCUUAGAAGCAGCCACCCUUUAAAGAAAGCGUAAUAGCUCACUGAUCGAGUCGUCCUGCGCGGAAGAUGUAACGGGGCUAAGCUAUAUACCGAAGCUGCGGAUGCGAGCUUUGCUCGCAUGGUAGGAGAGCGUUCCGUAAGCCUGCGAAGGUGCCUUGUAAAGGGUGCUGGAGGUAUCGGAAGUGCGAAUGCUGACAUGAGUAGCGAUAAAGGGGGUGAAAGGCCCCCUCGCCGUAAGCCCAAGGUUUCCUACGCAACGUUCAUCGGCGUAGGGUGAGUCGGCCCCUAAGGCGAGGCAGAAAUGCGUAGCUGAUGGGAAGCAGGUCAAUAUUCCUGCACCAUUGUUAGAUGCGAUGGGGGGACGGAUCGCGGAAGGUUGUCCGGGUGUUGGAAGUCCCGGUCGCUGCAUUGGAGAAGGCGCUUAGGCAAAUCCGGGCGCGUAAUUCAAGGGUGUGGCGCGAGCUCCCUAGGGAGCGAAGCAAUUGGAAGUGGUUCCAAGAAAAGCCUCUAAGCUUCAGUCUAACGAUGACCGUACCGCAAACCGACACAGGUGGGCGAGAUGAGUAUUCUAAGGCGCUUGAGAGAACUCGGGAGAAGGAACUCGGCAAAUUGGUACCGUAACUUCGGGAUAAGGUACGCCCUUGUAGCUUGACUGGCCUGCGCCAGGAGGGUGAAGGGGUUGCAAUAAACUGGUGGCUGCGACUGUUUAAUAAAAACACAGCACUCUGCAAACACGAAAGUGGACGUAUAGGGUGUGACGCCUGCCCGGUGCCGGAAGAUUAAAUGAUGGGGUGCAAGCUCUUGAUUGAAGUCCCGGUAAACGGCGGCCGUAACUAUAACGGUCCUAAGGUAGCGAAAUUCCUUGUCGGGUAAGUUCCGACCUGCACGAAUGGCGUAACGAUGGCCACACUGUCUCCUCCCGAGACUCAGCGAAGUUGAAGUGUUUGUGAUGAUGCAAUCUACCCGCGGCUAGACGGAAAGACCCCAUGAACCUUUACUGUAGCUUUGCAUUGGACUUUGAACCGAUCUGUGUAGGAUAGGUGGGAGGCUAUGAAACCGGAACGCUAGUUUCGGUGGAGCCGUCCUUGAAAUACCACCCUGGUUUGUUUGAGGUUCUAACCUUGGCCCGUGAUCCGGGUCGGGGACAGUGCAUGGUAGGCAGUUUGACUGGGGCGGUCUCCUCCCAAAGCGUAACGGAGGAGUACGAAGGUACGCUAGGUACGGUCGGAAAUCGUGCUGAUAGUGCAAUGGCAUAAGCGUGCUUAACUGCGAGACCGACAAGUCGAGCAGGUGCGAAAGCAGGUCAUAGUGAUCCGGUGGUUCUGUAUGGAAGGGCCAUCGCUCAACGGAUAAAAGGUACUCUGGGGAUAACAGGCUGAUACCGCCCAAGAGUUCAUAUCGACGGCGGUGUUUGGCACCUCGAUGUCGGCUCAUCUCAUCCUGGGGCUGUAGCCGGUCCCAAGGGUAUGGCUGUUCGCCAUUUAAAGAGGUACGUGAGCUGGGUUUAAAACGUCGUGAGACAGUUUGGUCCCUAUCUGCCGUGGGCGUUGGAUAUUUGAAGGGGGCUGCUCCUAGUACGAGAGGACCGGAGUGGACGAACCUCUGGUGUACCGGUUGUCACGCCAGUGGCAUCGCCGGGUAGCUAUGUUCGGAAGAGAUAACCGCUGAAAGCAUCUAAGCGGGAAACUCGCCUUAAGAUGAGAUAUCCCUGG
rnacentral:rRNA from 1 species